rnacentral:rRNA from 1 species
GGCCCAGAUCGUUUACCGUGAAAAAAUUAGAGUGUUCAAAGCAGGCAGAUCCAAUUCUCUGCCACCGAAUACAUUAGCAUGGGAUAAUGGAAUAGGACCCCUGUCCUCCUAUUUUCAGUUGGUUUUGACACGCGAGGACCAGGGUAAUGAUUAAUAGGGAUAGUUGGGGGCAUUAAUAUUUAAUUGUCAGAGGUGAAAUUCUUGGAUUUAUGAAAGAUUAACUUCUGCGAAAGCAUCUGCCAAGGAUGUUUUCAUUAAUCAAGAACGAAAGUUAGGGGAUCGAAGACGAUCAGAUACCGUCGUAGUCUUAACCAUAAACGAUGCCGACCAGCGAUUAGGAGACGUUGAAUACAAAACACCACCAUCGGUGCGGUCGUCCUUGGCAUUUGUCGUGGCGCAAGUCACGGCAGGUGUGAGGAUGGUUUAGCCUGAUGGAUUUCGGUGAAUGACUCCCCUAGCAGCUUGUGAGA